AACCAAGUAGAAACUGUUUAUUGUUACAGGUGAUAAAAGUCCAGUCAAUGUCCUUAACUCUCAACUAAACCAACCUUCUCCUUCCUCAUCUCCAGUCACUCUCCUCUCUCCCUCCCUCUUCUUCUUCUCCCUUACUUAACUCCACCCCACAACUCCUAUUGGUGCAUGCAAAUAUCAACAUAUUCAUGAGCAGGGUGAACACUCCAUCAGGAAAUCAUAGACAUCUUUCCCCAUUUGAGCACCUUCUCUGAAUACGUGCUAAACAUAUUCUUUUGGUUGACCUUUAGUUCUGUUGAGUCAGAGGAUCUCCCUAGACUGAGUUAUCCUACUACCUGAUCCCAAGAGAAAUCAGCUAAACUCACAAGCCAAUGGAAACACAGCAAACUUUAUAAAACACUUUUAUUUAUUACUUUUUAAACUAAAUUUAAAUAAUGCAAUUUCUUAGGGCAAACUAGAAAAAGGUAAAUACUGUACAGUAUCUGAUAUACAGCUGCUGGGACUCCGCUAAGUUUUCACUGAGAGCAGAGUAGUAAUGUGGGAUUGGCCUAUUUGUGCAAAGAGGUGGAGGGCAAUUUUUAUUCAUUGAGACCAUGACUUCUUUUGUCCCAUUGUGAUGCUUUCAUGAGGGACACCAUUCCAUGUUGCUAUGCCAGGUGGGGCUUUCUGCGCAGCCAAGGUGCAGGACGACAUGAGGAAUCUACUUGAAAGGAACAUGUAAAAACAAUACCAGGCAACACAUCUUAAAAAUGACAAUAUCCAGAAGGACAGAAAAUAUCUUUGUUUGUUGAUGAGAAGAUAGCAGUGUAUACUUCAGCCUUAACUUCCAGACAAGAAGAACUGUCACAAUCCAAGAAGGUUAAUGCCGACUUCAGAGGUGACAGACCCACAGCUGUGUGGCCCAUCUCACGGGCAGCACUCAACGCCGAAGCAUCAUCCAGGGUGAAGGAACUGGCACAACCCCGGCCUUUUAUAGAUGACUGGGCAUUAAGCCGCCCCCGUUUCCCUUUGGUGAGCAAAGGAGCACUGAAUGCCACUCCCUCACAACGGGUAAUAGCACUAGCUACACCAAGGAGCCUGCCGGUAUCACCUUUAAAGAAGCCACCUAAAAAAACACCCCGUGGCCCUAUUGCUAAUGUUGCCAAGUUUGAGGAACUCUCCAAACCACGGAUCUACAUGUAUGAAAGCCACAAUCCCUACAAAGUUUCCAAGGCAGCUCUCCAGUAUGUUCCUAGUUCUCGCAUUUUGGAAAUCAGCCGUCCUGUGAGAAUGAGAGCCAAAGCAGCCCACAUUACAUAGAAGACACUCUUUCUUUGUUUUGGCCCAGUAACAAAUCUGAUUAAAGGAUGUUUUCUGCUCCCCUCAGAUCUGUAAAUUGAGUGAAUUCUUUUUCCGUCUCCUGCUUAGUUGUGUGAUAUCUUCAGUCUAGCACAACUCUGUAUUAGUCUAGCUUUUAUUAUCUAUCUUGCAGAACACAAACAUGUGACAAAGAAUGUACCCGAUUUUUUUCCAACUUUAACUGUUAUAUACACAGGGGUACAUGAUACUCUUCAGCCUCAAUACAACUCUUGAAUGAUACUCUAGAACCUGCUUAUGUAAGAGCCAAACCAGAUAAUAAACUAUAUUGUUAGAAUCA
ensembl:lncRNA theg spermatid protein